UACGUAGGGUGCGAGCGUUGUCCGGAAUUAUUGGGCGUAAAGAGCUUGUAGGCGGUCUGUCGCGUCUGCUGUGAAAAUCCGGGGCUCAACCCCGGACUUGCAGUGGGUACGGGCAGACUCGAGUCCGGUAGGGGAGCGUGGAAUUCCCGGUGUAGCGGUGAAAUGCGCAGAGAUCGGGAGGAACACCCGUAGCGAAGGCGGCGCUCUGGGCCGGUACUGACGCUGAGGAGCGAAAGCGUGGGGAGCAAACAGG
rnacentral:rRNA from 1 species